UACGAAGGGGGCUAGCGUUGCUCGGAAUGACUGGGCGUAAAGGGCGCGUAGGCGGCUUGCACAGUCAGGCGUGAAAUUCCUGGGCUCAACCUGGGGACUGCGCUUGAGACGUGUGGGCUUGAGUGGGGAAGAGGGUCGUGGAAUUCCCAGUGUAGAGGUGAAAUUCGUAGAUAUUCGCAAGAACACCAGUGGCGAAGGCGGCUCACUGGCCCGGUACUGACGCUGAGGUGCGAAAGCGUGGGGAGCAAACAGG
rnacentral:rRNA from 1 species